CUACAAGGGUUUCUAAUCCUGUUUGCUCCCCACGCUUUAGUGCCUCAGCGUCAGUGAAGAUUUAGCAUCCUGCCUUCGCUAUUGGUGUUCUGUAUGAUAUCUAUGCAUUUCACCGCUACACCAUACAUUCCAAACACUCCAAUCUUACUCAAGACUAUCAGUAUCAAUAGCAAUUUUACAGUUAAGCUGUAAGCUUUCACUACUGACUUAAUAAACAGCCUACACACCCUUUAAACCCAAUAAAUCCGGAUAACGCUUGUGUCUUUCGUAUUACCGCGGCUGCUGGCAC
rnacentral:rRNA from 1 species